AGACGAACUGUUCAAACGUUAUUCGGAAUCACUGGGCUUAAAGGGCGCGUAGGCGGUCUAGUAAGCGAGGUCUGAAAUCCCGCGGCUCAACCGCGGAACUGGGCUUCGAACUGUUAGACUAGAGUGAAGUAGGGGCAAGCGGAACUUGCGGUGGAGCGGUGAAAUGCUUUGAUAUCGCAAGGAACACCGGUGGCGAAGGCGGCUUGCUUGGCUUUAACUGACGCUCAAGCGCGAAAGCUAGGGUAGCGAACGGGAUUAGAUACCCCGGUAGUCCUAGCCGUAAACACUGAGCGCUUGUUCGAGGGAGAUUUUCUUUCUCGAGCGUAGCGAAAGUCUUAAGCGCUCCGCCUGGGGAGUAUGGUCGCAAGGCUGAAACUUAAAGGAAUUGACGGGG
rnacentral:rRNA from 1 species